ACCAGAAGAAAGCCUCUUGUCCACCCGGUAUUAAGUAGUUGCGCCGAAGGUGAUGUUUUUGAAAUCUCCUCGGUCUGGCUGCUUUAUACCGCAUGGAUGAAAAUCACCAAAAAAAGUC
rnacentral:precursor_RNA from 15 species